GACGAACGCUGGCGGCGUGCUUAACACAUGCAAGUCGAGCGGUAAGGCCCUUCGGGUACGACGAGCGGCGAACGGGUGAGUAACACGUGGGUGACCUGCCUCUAGCUCUGGGAUAAGCCUGGGAAACUGGGUCUAAUACCGGAUAUGACUCCACGGCGCAUGUUGUGGGGUGGAAAGCCUUGUGCGGCUAGAGAUGGGCCCGCGGCCUAUCAGCUUGUUGGUGGGGUGAUGGCCUACCAAGGCGACGACGGGUAGCCGGCCUGAGAGGGCGACCGGCCACACUGGGACUGAGACACGGCCCAGACUCCUACGGGAGGCAGCAGUGGGGAAUCUUGCGCAAUGGGGCGAAAGCCUGACGCAGCGACGCCGCGUGAGGGAUGACGGCCU
rnacentral:rRNA from 1 species